rnacentral:piRNA from 1 species
UGUUGUCUACUUCUGGUUCUCAGAGC